GCGGCGGUGGUGCAAUGGCGACACAGCUGGUUUAGGUCCAGUGACCCGUAAAGGGUUUGAGGGUUCGAAUCCCUUCCGCCGCAC
rnacentral:tRNA from 1 species